rnacentral:rRNA from 1 species
GUUGAACGCUGGCGGCAGGCCUAACACAUGCAAGUCGAACGAGUGGCGGACGGGUGAGUAAUGUCUGGGAAACUGCCUGAUGGAGGGGGAUAACUACUGGAAACGGUAGCUAAUACCGCAUACCAUCAGAUGUGCCCAGAUGGGAUUAGCUUGUUGGUGGGGUAACGGCUCACCAAGGCGACGAUCGCUAGCUGGUCUGAGAGGAGGACCAGCCACACGGGAACUGAGACACGGUCCGGAUCCCUACGGGAGGCAGCAGUGGGGAAUAUUGCACAAUGGGCGCAAGCCUGAGGCAGCCAGGCCCCGGAGAGGAAGAGGGCUUUCGGUUUUUAAAGUACUUUCAUCGGGGAGGCGGUACCCGCAGAAAAAGCACCGGCUAACUCCGUGCCAGCCGCCGCGGUAAUUC